AGAAUCAACGCUGGCGGCGUGCCUAACACAUGCAAGUCGAACGAGAAAGUGGAGCAAUCCAUGAGUAAAGUGGCGACCGGGUGAGUAACACGUGACUAACCUACCCUACAGUGGGGGAUAACUCCGGGAAACCGGGGCUAAUACCGCAUAACAUCGUAAGAUCAAAGGAGCAAUUCGCUGAAGGAGGGGGUCGCGGCUGAUUAGUUAGUUGGUGAGGUAACGGCUCACCAAGACGAAGAUCAGUAGCCGGCCUGAGAGGGCGCACGGCCACACUGGAACUGAAACACGGUCCAGACUCCUACGGGAGGCAGCAGUGGGAAUUUUGCGCAAUGGGGGAAACCCUGACGCAGCAACGCCGCGUGGAGGAUGAAGUCCCUUGGGAUGUAAACUCCUUUCGAUCGGGACGAUUAUGACGGUACCGGAAGAAGAAGCACCGGCUAACUCUGCGCCAGCAGCCGC
rnacentral:rRNA from 1 species